rnacentral:rRNA from 1 species
UACGAGGGGGGCAAGUGUUGUUCGGAAUUACUGGGCGUAAAGGGAGCGUAGGCGGGCUCUUAAGUUGGAUGUUUAAAACCGGGGCCUAACCCCGGCGUGGCAUCCAAAACUGGGAGUCUUGAAUGGGACAGAGGCCAGUGGAAUUAGAGGUGUAGCGGUGGAAUGCGUAGAUAUCUCUGAAGAACACCAGUUGCGAAGGCGGCUGGCUGGGUCCACAUUGACGCUGAGGCUCGAAAGCGUGGGGAGCAAACAGG